UGGAGAUGGACUGCCACAUCACACUGGGGGACUGACUCAGAGACGGGGAGGAGCAGUGGGCAGGACCCUGCUCACAUGAUAACCCAGGGAAUCUGAUAUGUGAAGAGUUAAGGCAUUGCCAGUGGUCUGGAGGCUGAGUCGUGAUGGAGCUGAGAUUCAAACCCAGGCAUUUUGCUUCAUUGCUCACGUGUUGUCAUCUUGACUACAAAUGAGGAAUCUUGCAGAAGGGGAGAUCAUGAACAAAGUUGGUAGUUUUUGAGAAGCUGCCCUUGAAGACAUGUCUAUGCUGUCUUGCUGUGAUCCCCCUCCCCCAACUUCUUGAGUUGCUUCUCUCUGGGGAGAUACUAAAGGAGCAGAAUUCCAGCUUGGGAGAGAAGUGUAGCCCUCAGCAGCAGCCUGCUCUGUCCUGGACCAGCUAAGUGGAUUCCUCUUUGGGACAGAGAGAAGUCCGGUUUCUAUGACAAUCCAUGGCCGUUCUGCCAAGACUGCCAGCCAGGGUGCCUGGCAGUGCUAAUUGCUAUGCAGACAUCCGUUCAUUAGACUUUGACCUAGAAUUACUAUCAUCUUUCACAAGGUAGGCAAUGAAUCAUUGUUUUUGGCCCUUGCUUUGUCUCCUUCAGCCUAAGUUUGAUUUGGAUCAGAAAUGCAGUCUCUAUAGGCCAUUACCCAUCUCAGCCAGGAAGGUUCCUGAGGUAUAAUUUUGAUAAGGUUUUAUUUGGAACAGGGUAUUAGCUAAUAGUCGAAGAGCUCAGAGGGAAUUGGUUGUAACCCAGCUCUGCCACUCAGUGGCUCUGAGAUCUUGGACAAACUAUUUGAGUCCUUUAAGCCAGUUAUUUCAUCUGUAAAAAGGGGUAACAAUAUUUUCAUCCUCACAGGAUUAGGAUUGCCAUGAGAUAUGGGCAGGGAUGAGGCGGGAAGAGACUCUAAUGCCUGUGCUGGCAUCUGGAAGGAGAACAUGCAACUAAAUGACCGGAUACCUGGAUGGCUGGCACCUGCAUCCCAAUGCUUGCAGCCAGCCACCAUCUAGACCCAAUAGUUCUUCAUUGGGUUCUCCUCAUCCUUAGUAAUUCCGUGUAUUUCCCUUCACCCAUUUCCCUUCCCACGUUUGAGACUACUGAAAAGCUAUGAAGAAACCUAGGACAAACAAGUAGCAAUGUGAAUUCGCAAGUUUUGUUACUUUUCUCAGUAACCAAUAAACAGGAUUCAUUUGGUGUUUUUUAUAUAAUUUUCAUUUUAUACUCUAAUCUUGCUCUUAGAAUUCUGGAGAGAACUACAGAUGCUGAGUGCUUUACUUCGGUUAGCCUAAGAUAAAAUACCCAGGAGGAGGUAAGUUCAGGUGCAUCCUACCUAAAGAAGUAAAACCGAUGACCAAGAAUAAAUAUUUAUUGACAAUCUAAUAUGUGCUGGAUACUCUGGCCAUCGAGACUGUA